rnacentral:misc_RNA from 1 species
AUGCACUUCUGUAUUUCAGCAUACAAUGGAAAGUUCUGUGAACAACAAGGUUGUAAGCUUGCUACAGCAGAAUCCAGUACUUUUGCCACAUCAGCGGGUGGAAACUGUCGUUCCGUGCACUUCUGAAUCAUAAGCAAAGUAGAAACACAUUUAGUGAUAAGUUCUGAAGGAAUUUCUGCUUCAUUUCUAUCUGACAUAUUCUUUGACUUAAGAUCAGGUGGAGUUGGCACGCAAGAAUCAUCUAGUAGAAUCCGAUCAUUCACAUAAUCAAUAGCCUCCUCAAUCUUCUCGGUGGUGUUGUCUCUACCGGUAAAUGAAAGCAUUGCCUGCACGGCUGCAUCUACCAUAGUCCGGGAUUUGAUUUUUGAGUUUUCUAUUAUCUCAUUGACAAGGAAUCCUGAUUCCUGCGGUUGAUUUGUACAACGAUCAAAAGUGCUCGCAAUACUAGGAUCAGCAAAAUUUGGAACUGGCCUUGGCCAAGCAAGUGGAAUGCUUCCGUGAUAGGUAUUCCGCUGCCUCAAGCGAAAUAGAGCAGAAGAAACCUGCUCAUUGACUUCAUUUAACUGUAUUAG